rnacentral:rRNA from 1 species
UACAUGUGGGGCAAGCGUUGUUCGGAAUUACUGGGCAUAAAGGGUGCGUAGGCGGUUUGUUAAGUCACUGGUGAAAGUUUUCGGCCCAACCGGAAAAUUGCCUGUGAUACGGGCGGGCUAGAGUUCGGUAGGGGAGACUGGAAUUCCUGGUGUAGCGGUGAAAUGCGCAGAUAUCAGGAGGAACACCGGUGGCGAAGGCGGGUCUCUGGGCCGAUACUGACGCUGAGGAGCGAAAGCGUGGGGAGCGAACAGG